rnacentral:rRNA from 1 species
AUUGAACGCUGGCGGCAUGCCUUACACAUGCAAGUCGAACGGUAACGGGCCUUCGGGUGCCGACGAGUGGCGAACGGGUGAGUAAUGUAUCGGAACGUACCUUUCAGUGGGGGAUAACGUAGCGAAAGUUACGCUAAUACCGCAUAUUCUGUGAGCAGGAAAGCAGGGGAUCGCAAGACCUUGCGCUGAUUGAGCGGCCGAUAUCAGAUUAGCUAGUUGGUGAGGUAAAGGCUCACCAAGGCGACGAUCUGUAGCGGGUCUGAGAGGAUGAUCCGCCACACUGGAACUGAGACACGGUCCAGACUCCUACGGGAGGCAGCAGUGGGGAAUAUUGCGCAAUGGGGGGAACCCUGACGCAGCGACGCCGCGUGAAGGAAGAAGGCCUUCGGGUUGUAAACUUCUUUGAUGAGGGACGAAGGAAGUGACGGUACCUCAAAAACAAGCCACGGCUAACUACGUG